UUAAAAAGCUCGUAGUUGGAUCUCAACAGCCUUGAAGCGGUUAACUUUGUAGUUUUACUGCUUUAUAGGCUGUGCUUUUGCUGGAGGUUUAGGGGUGCUCUUGAAUCGAGUGUCUCUGGAUGCCAGCAGGUUUACUUUGAAAAAAUUAGAGUGCUCAAAGCAGGCUAAAAUGCCUGAAUAUUCGUGCAUGGAAUAAUAGAAUAGGAUGUCGAUCCUAUUUUGUUGGUUUUCGGGACUCGACAUAAUGAUAAAUAGGGACAGUCGGGGGCAUUUGUAUUCAAACGACAGAGGUGAAAUUCUUGGACCGUUUGAAGACAAACUACUGCGAAAGCAUUUGCCAAGAAUGUUUUCAUUAAUCAAGAACGAAAGUUAGAGGUUCGAAGGCGAUUAGAUACCGCCCUAGUUCUAACCAUAAACGAUGCCAGCUAGCGAUCUGCCUGCGUUUUUACUGUAGACUGGGCAGGAAGCUUCCGGGAAACCAAAGCAUUUGGGUUCCAGGGGAAGUAUGGUUGCAAAGCUGAAACUUAAAGGAAUUGACGGAAGGGCACCACCGGGAGUGGAGCCUGUGGCUUAAUUUGACUCAACACGGGAAAUCUCACCAGGCC
rnacentral:rRNA from 1 species